GAUCAUGGCUCGAGGACGAACGCUGGCGGCGUGCUUAACACAUGCAAGUCGAACGGUGAACCAGAGCUUGCUCUGGGGAUCAGUGGCGAACGGGUGAGUAACACGUGGGCAACCUGCCCCAGACUCUGGGAUAACCUCGGGAAACCGAUGCUAAUACCGGAUACGACCACUUCGGACAUCCGACGGUGGUGGAAAGUUUUUCGGUCUGGGAUGGGCCCGCGGCCUAUCAGCUAGUUGGUGGGGUAAUGGCCUACCAAGGCGACGACGGGUAGCCGGCCUGAGAGGGCGACCGGCCACACUGGAACUGAGACACGGUCCAGACUCCUACGGGAGGCAGCAGUGGGGAAUAUUGCACAAUGGGCGAAAGCCUGAUGCAGCGACGCCGCGUGAGGGACGACGGCCUUCGGGUUGUAAACCUCUUUCAGCAGGGACGAAGCGAAAGUGACUGUACCUGCAGAAGAAGCACCGGCUAACUACGUG
rnacentral:rRNA from 1 species